rnacentral:lncRNA from 1 species
AGCAUUAAGAGAGAGACUUGAAUUAGAAGGAAAUGAAUAACAGGUGCUUUGAUGCUCCAGCCAGCCUGAAAAUUUAGGACAGACAGCUCACCAGAAAAGUUCUCGACUCUAGCUAAGAUAAUGAAGGUAAGUUAUAAAGAAAUGUGUGUGUGUGUGUGUGUGUGUGUGUGUGUGUGUGUGUGCCAGAAACUGAAUAUAAGAUUAGAAUUUAAAAGUGCUCAGACAUGAGGUAUACAGUUGUCAUCAUCAUCAUCUGUUCCUCCCCUUCUCUUUCUCUUCCUCUUCUCUCUUUCUCUCUUUCUCUCUCUCUCUCUCUUUCUUUCUUUCUUUCUUUCUUUCUUUCUUUCUUUCUUUCUUUCUUUCUUUCUUUCUUUCUUUCUUUCUUUCUUUCUUUCUUUCUUUCUUUCUUUCUUUCUUUCUUUCUCUCUUUCUUUCUCCUUCCUCCCUUUCUUUCUUUCUUUCUUUCUUCCUUUCUUUCUUUCUUUCUUUCUUUCUUCUUUCUUUCUUUCUUUCUUUCUUUCUUUCUUUCUUUCUUUCUUUCUUUCUUUCUUUCUUUCUUUCUUUCUUUCUUUCUUUCUUUCUUUCUUUCUUUCUUUCUUUCUUUCUUUCUUUCUUUCUUUCUUUCUUCUUCUUCUUCUUCUUCUUCUUCUUCUUCUUCUUCUUCUUCUUCUUCUUCUUCUUCUUCCUUUUCCUCUUCCUUCUUCUCUUUCUCCUCUUUUUCUUUUUUCUCCUCCUCCUUUUCUUCUCCUCUUCCUCUUCUUCAAGGAAGAACCAACUCACCUUGAUGAGGCAGAGGGUUUCUGUGCAUUUUUUCAUUCAAUGGAUCAUAUAUAGAAUACCAUCUGUUAUUUAGAGUCAGUGGUAGCCAUCCUCUUUUCUGGUUACUCAGCAAUUGUACUCUUUAUUUCAGUACUUCAAGAAUCCAAGUUUAAAGUGCUGUGGAUACUCCUUCCACCGAACCAGAUUGUAAUCUUUUAGCAUCAUAGAAGAGAAUCUUUACGGGCUGUGAAUGUAGCUGAAAAAUAAAAUCAUUCCUUGUAAGUCA